rnacentral:lncRNA from 1 species
AAUCUUUCAAACGAUAAGGGGGACAUUUAUCUAAUAUUAAGUCAUCAAAAAGUUGCAUAGCUUUAUUUGAUUUGUUUUAGCUAUAUAAACAAUAUAUUACGUCGUUUAUUUAUCAAGGACACAAAUUGGUUACACUAUUCGUCCUGAAGGAGGAAAUAAUACAGAUUAUGGUUGAACAUGUAAAAUACAGUGGUUUCAUUUUCCACGCCAUUAUAUCUCAUGUAUUCAAAUAUUUGAAAUUGGUUAAACUUGUACGACA